rnacentral:lncRNA from 1 species
CGGAAAUUCAUAAACCUAUCCAAAACUCAUCCAAAAAUUCCAUAACUCACUUCAAUAAACUCCCCUUAAUAUUCCAAAUUUAACAACAUUAAAAUCUCCCAACCGGCGGCGGCGCCGCCGGCGGCUCCGCCGGCAGCGGCGGCCGGAGGUCAAUUCCGGCGACCUCCAAAACCUAUGAAAUUUUAACAGCAUCUUUCUCUCAUCAAGCUCUACAACUUUCAUAACUAGCACAAACACCAAUUCCAAGCCUAACUAGGGCUAUCGACUAAAAACAUCAAAAACACCAUAAAACUUCCACUUCAAAUUUCUCCUUACCUAGCUCAAGAGGGAGUGAGUCCUUUUAGGGCAAGGUUGCUGGGUUGGAGGGCUACAAAACCAUACCAAGCUUGCCCGGAUUGGUGGCCGGGAGGAGGAAGUUCCGACGAAGUGAAGGUUUGGACAGUUGGACCUUACGGGUGGCACCGCCCCUUCACGGCGGCGCUAGGGCUCCUCUCACCGGUCUAGAAAUGUUGCUGGGAGGGAGACCGACCGAACGGGACCGGUCCGGCGGCGAACGGAGGUCGGACGGCGGCGGGAGGACGGCCGGAAUACCGGUGGGUGUAGAGAGAAGAAAAUCGGGUGGGAGGAGAAGAAAAAUCGGGAGGGAGGGAGAGAGAAAAGAAAAAGGGUUUGGGCCUCACACCCCAAACCGGUCCACACCAUUUAUAACCCAAACUUCCAAAAUAAAAACACCCCGAAAAAUAAUACCCGAAUAAAAAUUACAUUUUUCUAGCUAAAAUUUACUAUUUUUACCGUCGUUGUAUUUUCCUCAUACGAAUAAUCCUCCGCACAUAAUCGUCCCCGAAACCCCUCUAGGGACCAAUUAAACUAUUUACUCAAUGAUCGAGACGGUAAAAUUCUUAUUAUAAUCACGCUAGUAAAUAAGGUAAAAAUAUAAGGGUCGGGAUGUGACAAUUAUAAUAUUAUCAGCGGUCCUCAUUAUAUGUGAAUAGAGCGCUUAGCGUGGGACGCAAUUAUACCCUGGAAGGCAACCCAUCGGUAUAUAUAUAUAGUUAUUGUGAGCUAACCAUUAUUUAGCGGUCCUCAUCAUAUGAGAGUUGAGCGUUUAGCGUGGGACGCUAUUAUAAUAUUAUCAGCGGUCCUCAUCAUAUGUGAGUAGAGCGCUUAGCGUGGGACGCUAAUAUAGCCUGGGAGGCUCAUUAUUAUGGUGAAAUUUAUUCCCCAUUGUUUUCCAUUGAUUAAUUGGGAACCAAUGGGACUAAUUCAUUAUUUUUUGUCUAUAAUUAUUUAAGGAUAAAUUUCCAAGAAUGGCAUGUAUAAAUUUUUUUCUCAAUGAAAAAUAUGGGAAAAGUAUAAAUUUUGAUUUCAAGGCUCUUUCAUUAAUUUAGUAUCUUUAUUAUUUAUUUUGUCCACUCACUCUAACAUUUUAAAUACUUUCCCCUGGACCUUUCGUUUUAAAUGCCCAGUCUGCAGAGCUCAGUUCGGCGAGAGUAGGAGGCGUGUCAUUUUCCCACCUCAUCCAGUUUUCCCUCAUAGGUUGCUAGUUAACCUACCCCUGUAUUUUCUUCUUUCCUAGUAGUUGCUCUGAUAACCUCAGGAUGUUUUAAGUAUUGUUGUUGUUGUUUAAUGUUGUGUGUUAAGAGCUUGUGACUCCAUCUAGGAGUGUUUGAAAAAGGUUUAUUUGAUAUGUUUUAUGAGGGAUGAAAUUCAUGAAAAUGAUUUUGUUUUAUUAUGUUAGCUGAGGUGGUGGAUGUUUAUUUGGGGGAGCGGAUGGCUCUAGAAGAUGUGGGUUAAAUUGUUUUAGAAGUGUUUGGGCUUUGGUGAAUUUUUUUCAGGUAGGGUUACUCAUUUUCAAGGGAGGUUAUGCCAAAAUUUUGGUAGAAUUUCCCUUGAGGUGGGUCCCGCAGGGUUUAUUCCGGAUUUCAAGGGGAAAUCCGGGGUAGGUCCUGACAAUUGGUAUCAGAGCAUUAGGUUAUCCGAUUCCUGCCUUUCCUUAUUACUACCAUAUAUGCUUAGUAACACUUAGUGUUAUUAUAGUGAUGGUCCGACCGCGGUGGAUCCAUUAGCAUUUUAUACUUGUAUGCUAAGUGUUUAUUAAGUAUGUGGGUAGUUGUCUUUUUCUUGUCUCUUGUGCUAAAUAUUUUAUUCUCAGGUAGUAUGCCUCCUUGCCGAGCUCCUAGGCAAAAUCAUCCCGGGGGGGAUGAUGAGGAAGCGCAGAGUGGUUUUAUGAACGCCAUGGAGGAUUUCUUUCAGCGUUUUAGCACUAGCAUGGUCCUUGAGAUAAAUUAUGAUAGAGCUUACAAGAAUGGUGCUAGAGCGUUUAGCCAUGUUGUUGAGCCAUUGGAUGCUCAUAAUUGGGUAGAGACCAUUAAGAAAAUGUUUAUUCAAGUGAGGUGCCCAGAGGAUAGGAAAGUGGGCUUGGCUACUCAGUUCUUGGAGAAGGAAGCUUGGCAUUGGUGGCUUGAUAUGAGUAGAGGUAUGGGUGAAGCUGCAAAUCAUAUAUUGAGGCCCAGGAGUUGGCAGCUGGCCGUCUUCGUGAUUCUGGUGGUCAUAGCCAGGGUUCAUCAAGGAAAUUAGCGUCCACCUCAGGUUCUAGAUCAUCUUCUGGUAGUGGACAUGGUAGCAGUUCGAGUCCUGGCUCCUGUUUCAGAGGGAAGUUCAAGAAGCAUGGUAGUAGACCCUUCAGGAAUUUUUUUGGGCAUCAGCUUGGGCGAUUCAGGAGUGGAUCGAGCAGUAGGAGUGGGACCUCUGGUGGUCAGUCUUUUUAGUCUGGACAGAGUCAAUUUCAGUCUGGGGGAUGUUUUCAGUGUGGUCAGCUGGAUCACUUCAAGAGGGAUUGCCCUCUUCUGACUCAGGGAGCUACAUAUGCUCCUACUCAGGCCAUGGGUCAGACAUCAGCUGGUGGUUCUAGUAGUGGCACACGGGCCAUGGCUCUAGCCAGAGGCGGCUUUCAGCAGGGCAGAGGACAGAGAGGUCGUCCUGCCACUACUCAUGCUAGGCUUCAUGCCAUGACUCAGCAGGAGGGACGUACCUCCCCGGAUGUCAUCAUUGGUACGUUGUUAAUUUUCGGUCAUCCUGCUUUUAUACUGAUAGACCCUGAGGCGACGCAUUCUUUCAUGUUUAGUAGAUUUUCAUUUCUCGCCAAUGUGCCAUCCUCGCCACUUCCAGGCGAAUGGCAGGUUUCCUUGCCCUCGGGGGAUGUGAUGAAGAUAGAUUGGGUAUUUAAAGGUUGAGAGGUGUUGGUAGAGGGUCUUAGUUUCGAUGUUGACUUGAUUCCAUUAGAUAUUGUGGAGUUUGAUGUAAUCCUGGGUAUGGACUUUUUAGAGGCACAUAGAGCCAUGAUUGAUUGUUUCCGGAAAGUAGUAGUGUUAAGAAGUCCUGGAAAGCCUGAGGUUACAUUUCAAGGUGAGCGAGAUGUUAUCUCAAGUUGUUUGAUUUCGACGGUUGCUGCUAGGAAAUUGUUGAAUAAAGGGUGUCAGGCUUAUUUAGCUCAUGUGGUGGAUACUAGAAAGGGAGAUGUGAGAAUUGAAGAUAUCCUUGUAGUUAAUGAAUUUCCCGAUAUUUUUCUAGAUGAGUUGCCUGGUUUGCCUCCUAUAAGGGAGAUAGAUUUUACAAUUGAACUACUUCUUGGAACGGCGCCUAUUUCUCAAGCGCCUUAUAGAAUGGCACCUGCAGAAUUAAAAGAGUUAAAAACUCAAUUGCAGGAGUUGGUGGAUAAGGGUUUUAUUCGGCCUAGAAUGUCCCCUUGGGGUGCUCCAGUGUUAUUUGUCAAGAAGAAAGAUGACACCAUGAGACUAUGUGUGGACUAUAGGAAGUUGAACCAGGUUACAGUGAAGAGUAAAUAUCCUUUGCCCCUCAUUGAUGAUUUAUUCAAUCUGUUGAAGGGUGCCACAGUCUUUUCAAAGAUUGAUUUGAGGUUAGGAUAUCAUCAGUUGCGAAUUCGGGAAAGUGAUAUAGCCAAGACUGCUUUUCGAUCACGUUAUGGUCAUUAUGAGUUUGUGGUGAUGCCGUUUGGACUUACUAAUGCACCUGCAGCUUUCAUGGAUCUCAUGAAUAGGGUGUUCCGUCCAUAUCUUGACCAUUUUGUGAUUGUAUUCAUAGAUGACAUCUUGGUGUAUUCUAAGAAUUUGAAGCAGCAUGCUAAACAUUUAAAAAUGGUACUGCAGACUUUGAGGGAAGCUCAGUUAUAUGCAAAGCUUAGUAAAUGUGAGUUUUGGUUGGAUAAAGUGGGGUUUUUAGGCCAUGUGGUUUCGGCAGAAGGUGUUAGUGUGGAUCCCCAAAAGAUAGAAGCGGUGACAAAUUGGAAGAGGCCUUCUAGCGUGACGGAGAUCCGUAGUUUCUUGGGGUUUGCCGGUUAUUAUUGCCGUUGUGUCCAAGAUUUCUCAAAGAUUGCCGCUCCUCUUACAAGAUUGAUCCGGAAGGGGGUUAAGUUCGAGUGGUCCGAGAAGUGUGAGCAGAGCUUUCAGGAGCUUAAGGAUCGUUUAACUAGUGCUCCAGUUCUAGCACUCCCUGAUGAUAGUGGAGAGUAUGUGGUAUAUUGCGACGCUUCUAGGCAGGGUUUGGGUGGGGUAUUGAUGCAGCAUGAAAGAGUAAUUGCUUAUGCUUCUAGGCAAUUGAAGCUGCAUGAAGGGAAUUACCCCACCCACGACCUAGAGCUUGCUGCAGUGGUGUUUGCAUUGAAAUUAUGGAGACAUUAUCUCUAUGGAGCCAAGUGCCAGAUCUUCACCGACCAUAAGAGCCUUCGGUAUGUGUUCACUCAGAGAGAAUUAAAUAUGAGGCAAAGAAGGUGGAUGGAGUUGAUUAAAGAUUAUGAUUGUACUAUUGAGUAUCAUCCUAGAAAAGCUAAUGUAGUAGCGGAUGCUCUUAGUCGCCAUCCUUCUAUGUCCUUAGCUUAUAUGAGGACGGUUUGGGUUCCACUUCUUUAUGAGUUGCGAGCUACAGGAGUAGAGUUAUCGGUAGAUGAAAUUGGUGCUUUGAUAGCCAGUUUUGAUUGAUAAAGUGCAUGAGGCUCAGUAUAAUGAUCCUUCCAUAGUGCGGUUGAUACAAAGAGCACUUAAUGGAACGGCAAGAGAUUUUUCUGUGAGGAGGGAUGGAGCCUUGUUGUUUAAAAGCAGGCUAUGUGUUCCGAAAAGGAAUUUGGGGUUGAAGCAGGAGAUAAUGGAGGAAGCUCAUAGUUCUGCUUAUGCUGCACAUCCUGGUAGUACUAAAAUGUACAAGACCUUGAAAGAUUUUUAUUGGUGGCCAAAUAUGAAAAGGGAGAUUGCCGCUUAUGUAAGUAGGUGUUUGAUUUGUCAGCAAGUCAAAGCUGAGAGGCAGAAACCUUCUGGUCUGCUAGAGCCAUUGCCUAUUCCUAUAUGGAAGUGGGACCACAUUGCCAUGGACUUUGUUUUUAGCUUACCUCGUACCCGUGAUGGGCAUGAUGGUGUUUGGGUGAUUGUGGAUCGAUUAACAAAGUCCGCACAUUUUCUGCCAGUGGGGAAGAAGUAUAAAAUGGAUAAAUUGGCGGAACUUUAUGUGAAUGAAAUUGUGAGACUCCAUGGUGUGCCUGAAUCUAUCGUUUCUGAUCGGGAUCCCAGAUUUGUUUCUAAAUUCUGGGGAGCAUUGCAGGCAGCUUUGGGCACUCAGUUGCACUUCAGCACAGCUUUUCAUCCUCAAACGGAUGGGCAGUCUGAGAGGACCAUUCAGACCAUGGAGGACAUGUUGAGGUCUUGUGCUAUGCAAUUCAGAGGGAGUUGGGAUAAGAAUUUGUCCUUGAUGAAUUUGCCUACAACAACAGUUUUCAUUCUAGCAUAGGUAUGACUCUCUUUGAAGUGCUUUAUGGGCGGCAGUGUUGUACACCUCUAUGUUGGAAUGAGGUGGGAGAAAAAGAGUUUUGUGGUCCAGAGAUUAUUCAGGAUACGAAUGAGAAGAUCAAGAUGAUUAGAGAUAGGCUCAAAGUAGCUCAAAAUAGGCAGAAGAGUUAUGCAGAUAACCGCAGGAGGGACCUUGAGUUUCAAGUGGGUGAUCGGGUAUUUUUGAAGUUAUCCCCUUGGAAGGGAGUAGUGCGUUUUGUCAAACGGGGAAAGCUUGGCCCGAGGUAUAUUGGUCCUUAUGAGAUUGUAGAGCGGGUUGGCACAGUUGCUUAUCGAUUGGAGCUACCUUUAGAGCUGUCCCGGAUACAUAGUGUUUUCCAUGUGUCCAUGCUACGCAAGUAUAUUGCCGAUCCCUCUCAUGUCUUGCAAGAGCAGCCAACAAGUUUGAAGAAAGAUUUGACCUAUGAAGAGGAACCGGUUCAGAUUCUUGAUCGAAAGGAGCAAGUGCUUAGGAACAAAACAAUUCCUCUGGUUAAAGUUCUAUGGAGGAGUCAACAAAUAGAGGAAGCCACUUGGGAACCGGAGGAGCUAAUGAGGCAGUAGUAUCCUUAUCUCUUUGAUUGACAAGUAUGUAAAUUUCAAGGACGAAAUUUUUAUAAGGAGGGGAGAAUUGUCACACCCCGGUUCUUAAGUUAUUUUACGGCUAUUUACUUUAGUAUUAUUUUGGUCUUUUACCGUGUUGAGUAGCCGGUUACUUCUUAAUGACCCUAAAGUUGACUUUCUAUUUUUCGUGGAAUUUGGGGAAACUUUCUUCAUGAAAGUCAGAGGGGACGUUAUUAAGAGUUCGUAGACAUGCUAUGUGUUAAAAUCGGAGUUAGCAUGAAAAAGUUAUGAUUUAAGGGAGUAAAUUUUGAGAUGGUAAAAAAGGGGGUAAAUAUUAGUGGGUAUUAUUUAUUUUUUUAUUGGGUUUUAUAGCUGGGCCGGCUGUGGAGCAGCCCAAAAUCUCCCCCUCAUUUUCUCUCUUCCCCUCUUCCUUCUCUCUCUUUCUCUCGUGAGUUUCCCCCGAGCCCUUCUUCGCCGGAAGUCAGCUGCCGCUGUCCGGCCAACCACCAGCUGCUACUGCACCCCAGUUCUGAUCCCCAUCACCUCCUCUCCCUCCCCGGCCUAGCCCCCGAGCCGUUAGCCCGCCGGAAGAGGAGAAAACCCAUCGGAGAUGCCGUGAAGCUUUUUUGCCAGAAAUCCCACUUCCGGCCGCCAUAGGUCGGGAUUUUUAGCUUAUCUUGUAGCCCUCAUCAAGGUGAGUAAUCCCUCAAAAGGAAUUGGUCUAAUUCGUUCUUGUUAGGGUGAAAUGUAUAAUUAUAAGUUCUAAGGAUUUAUGGAAGUUUUGGUUCGAUUACCCUAGUUAGGCUCAGAUAUGGACUAAGUACUAGUUAUGAAUGUUGUUGAGCAUGAUGAGAGGAAUGUACGUUCUGUGAAAAUUUGAGAGGCAUUGGUCUUCGCCGGAAUCCGGCAGCGGCAGCCGGCGCCGGCGCCCCUUAGGGGCAGUUUUUCAUGCUUUUUGGGUUGGUUUGAAUAAGAGGAGUUUAAUGAAGUAUAGUUUGGAAUUUUUGGAGGAGAUUUGAUAAGGUUUAGGAUUUAUCUAUGAUUAAGGAUUUAGGCGGUUGUUCAAAUGGAAAUCCGGCAGUUAGUUUAGCAGGUUUUAAAGUCUAAAAAUGUUAAAUUAUGGCUUUCGGUAUAUGCGGAGUAAUGUGAGCCUUAUUAGGUAAUAAGUGGAGAAGUUGGGCAAGAGAAAUGAAAAUUAUAGGCUUUCUCUCUCUUUUGGAAAUUUUAUUAAAGUUAUAUCCUAGUAUGGAGGUUUAAUGAUUAUUUAUUGUCCAAGACGUGAGGAGGAUCAUUUGGAGGAAGCCUCUGGCCGUCGGCAAGCAUAGCCGAGCUCUGUGAGUGGACCUUUGAUUUUAAUAUCUUGCAUGCGCUAAAUUUAUCUAAUUUCAAAGGCAUUUAGAGAUAUAAUAUUUGGUUGGAUUAUCGAGUUCCAUUUAUUUUUCUGGAACUCUCUUGCUAAUUUUAGUCGACACGUGGGACGUGUCAAGUGAUAUUUUUUAUUUCCAAGUACAGUUGGGAACUGUACUGUGCGCUAUGAGUUUUUUUAUAAUAUUUGGGGAAGUGUUGAUAAUUUUAUUCUAUUAUUAGUACUUCACCUUAAAAAGGGUUGAUUUAUAUUAAUCAUUGCUAGCUAACUUUAUUAGUAGUCCUCAUCAUAUGAGAGUUGAGCGCUUAACGUGGGAUGCUAUUAUAAUAUUAUCAACGGUCCUCAUCAUAUGUGAGUAGAGCGCUUAGCGUGGGACGCUAUUAUAGCCUGGGAGGCAACCGAUCAGUAUAUAUAUAUAGUUAUUGUUAGCUAGCCAUUAUAUAAUGGUCCUCAUCAUAUGAGAGUUGAGCACUUAGCGUGGGACGCUAUUAUAAUAUUAUCAGCGGUCCUCAUCAUAUGUGAGCAGAGCGCUUAGCGUGGGACGCUAAUAUAGCCUGGGAGGCUCAUUAUUAUGGUGAAAUUUAUUCCCCAUUGUUUUCCAUUGAUUAAUUGGGAACCAAUGGGAUUGGUUCAUUAUUUUUUGUCUAUAAUUAUUUACGGAUAAAUUUCCAAGAAUGGCAUGUAUAAAUAUUUUUCUCAAUGAAAAAUAUGGGAAAAGCAUAAAUUUUGAUUUCAAGGCUCUAUCAUUAAUUUAGUAUCUUUAUUAUUUAUUUUGUCCACUCACUCUAACAUUUUAAAUGCUUUCCCCUGGGCCUUUCAUUUUAAAUGCCCAGUCUGCAGAGCUCAGUUCGGCGAGAGUAGGAGGCGUGUCAUUUUCCCUCCUCAUCCAGUUUUCCAUCAUAGGUUACUAGUUAACCUACCCCUCUAUUUUCUUCUUUCCUAGUAGUUGCUCUGAUAACCUCAGGAUGUUUUAAGUAUUGUUGUUGUUGUUUAAUGUUGUGUGUUAAGAGCUUGUGACUCCAUCUAGGAGUGUUUGAAAAAGGUUUAUUUGAUAUGUUUUAUGAGGGAUGAAAUUCAUGAAAAUGAUUUUGUUUUAUUAUGUUAGUUGAGGUGGUGGAUGUUUAUUUGGGGGAGCGAAUGACUCCAGAAGAUGUGGGUUAAAUUGUUUUAGAAGUGUUUCGGCUUUGGUGAAUUUUUUUCAGGUAGGGUUACUCAUUUUCAAGGGAGGUUAUGCCAAAAUUUUGGUAGAAUUUCCCUUGAGGUGGGUCCCACAGGGUUUAUUCCGGAUUUUAAGAGGAAAUCCGGGGUAGGUCCUGACGUCACUAGAGUGGCCAUUUGGAUUUCGUCGGACUUAUGCUUAGAGUUGUGAGUGGACCUUUGUUUUAAUUGAAAAGCAUGCGAUGAAUUAUUUUGUUGAUCAUUUAUUUCUUCUGAUGAGACUUUUUGAUUUCUCGGUUAUUUGACAAUUUUUCCUCCUUUGGAGAGUUCCCGAAAAUGAGAUUUUCGGUUGAUAUGUUUAUUGGAUGUUAUAAGUAUAGUAUGUAUAUAAAUGCUAGCUAGCUAUACGUGCUUGGUCCGUCAUAAUGAGGUAAAAUACAAUUAUGGCGUGACGUGAGUGUUAAACACAAGCGUCAUAGCCCUAUAUGAAAACUACGUUCUUUUCUGGUUUAUUUAGGUUUUCCUAUAGGGAGUCCACACGUAUAUAUACAUCGUCCUCUUCGGUCAUAAUGAGGAAAAAAUUCCAUUAUGGAGCGACGUGAGCGUUAGACGCAAGCGUCGUAGCCUUGUAUGAAUUUCUAUUUUUCUAAUUUGUUCAUAAAAUUCAUAUAAGGAGUCUGACGAGUGUAAAUACAUACACAUAUAUGUUUAUAUAUAGUUUAGCUUGAGAGGCUCCAUUUUAUUUGAGUUGGUGACUAGCCGGAGCUAGUCGUGAAAUUGCCUGUUUAUGAGAUGAGCGCUUUUGAGCGGUCGCAUGCAGUAUAAUUUUUUUGAAAAUUAAAAUGGGAAUGCAUAAAUAUUUUUUUAUUAAUUUAUUUUUGUCCACUCACUCUAACGUUUUCAAAUUUUUUCCCCUGAGCCUUUCGUUUUAAAAAUGCCCAGCUUGCAGGUUAGCUUAGUUGAGGUUUUGCGUACAUGGAGAUGAGGCAUAGUCAUCAUAUAGCUUCCGCUUGUUAAUUUAUUAUGUUUCAUUUCUUCCUAUUAGAGUUGCUCUGAACCUAUAAAGGGUUGGAUAUGAAUUUGUUUAGAUUAGUAAUUAAUUUGGGUGGUGUUGUGUUUUAGGGAGCACGAAGGCUCCAAGAGUUUAAAGUUGGAUUUAAAUUUUCAAAAGUGUUUACAAGUUUUAUUAGGAAGGGUUGUCCAUUUUCAAGAGAGGUUACGCCGAUUUUUCGGUAAACUUUCCUUGGAAGUGGUCCCCACAAGAUUUACUUCGGAUUUCAAGGUGAAAUUCGGGAUAGGUCUUAACAUGAACCCUUACGUAACAACAGCCUACCAAUAAGAUUGGUUUUGAAGUUCUUCAAUUGUUCUUAGUAUAGGGCCUCAUUGAUUUUCACAUAGGUUUAGGGCUGGGCACGGUCCCAUACCGGCACCAAAAUAUUGAAGCCCGGGCCCGGACCGGCAGGUGUUUAGACGGGCCAGUCUCACUCUUAAAAUUUUUCGAGACCAGCAAAAGCCCGGACCGACAAAAUCCAGGCCGGUCAUGUCGGUUUCUGGUCUUUUUUCCGAUUAAGCGACUCAACGUUCUGCUUUCCAAAAAGCCACCGAAAGGCUCACCAUCUCAAGUCAAACUUGCCAAAGACCCAACUAAUCGAAAGCUCCACCUCCAAAAAUCCAGCUAACCAUGCCAUCUAAUUGGAAUCUGAUACACCUCCCACUCCUUCUUUCAACUCUAAUAAUCAAAAUCAAUCCAGAUAUUAAACAAUUACAGAGGCGAUGGAAGACCACAAUCACAAUAAGAACACAAAGGAGAUGGAAGUUGAGAUGUGUUUUGAAUCACUAAAACAGAGAACAAUGAGAGAUCAAGAUGCGUACCAGAGGCGGUGGGCGAAUUGGUGAUUGUUGUUGGAGGCGGACGUUGGUGAGGCGUCGAUGGCGAGGCAGAUCUGAGAAGCGAUUUGGAAUUUUCCCAAAUCUGAGAGGCGAAUUGGAAUUUUCAGAGGUGACGGGUGACUUGGUUGUGGUCAAGGGAGUUUUCAAAAGGGAGCUUUCCCAAAUCUGAUUCCAUGUGGUUGUGCUCAAACUGGUUCCAUAUGAGACAAUAAAGAGAUGUCUCUUUAAUUCGGCAAACUGAGAGUGAGAGACUUUAAUCCACUGUGGGUGAACGUACAAUACUAACGUAGGAUUGCUCACAUACCACAUAGCUCGGGCUUUCAGGCCUAAAAUUUUUUAGCUUUUGAGGGACCAGGACCGGCCCAGCUGUUGCUAGGACUGGACCAAACUGGCAAUAAACAAACAUGGGCCAGUAAAAAAACCCGGUCCGAUUCGGGCUUUUUUGCUGGCUCGGGUUAUAUGCCCACUCUUACAUAGGUUUUAUCCCCACGAACAACUGGAGUCGGAUUGAGUAAUAGGAACAGAAGAUUCAAUCGACGCAGAGAGAACAGAAGCGAACAACUUCGCUUUAGGGGUAUGCGACUCUAGAGGAGAACUCUCAUCCAAAGGGCACAUGAAUGCCCAUAGGCAGGCAACCUUCGUAGCAGUGCCAGAGCUAGUCGCUGUCAUCUCAGAUCAAUGCUGCCGCUAGGGCGCCGCAACCCUAGAACGCACCAGUAUUCUUUUUUUAGCAACACCGAAAAAGUCGAUACUUCCUUAUUUAGUUAUUUGUUGUUUACCUCCAUGGUUCUAUACUACUAAAACUAGAAGCAUGUAACUAGUCGAUCCAUGGUACCCCUAGACUCCUCUUCAUGUUUGUUCUUGUUAAAGCCCAAAACACAUGAAUGUCUGAAGAAUAGAACCUGUUGGAGGCGUUUGGUUACCAGGAUAAGAUUAGAUUAGGAUAUAUAAUAGUUGGAUUUGAUUAAGAUAAGAUAGGAUUUAUUUCAAAUCCUUUCAUUUGUUUGGUAAAACAGAAUCAGAACGGGAAUAGAUAAGUAGAAGAAGUAGAUUUGUGUCCAUUCUUCAUCUUCUGCAACUCAAUCAAAUGGAAAAUCCUCUAACUUUCAAUUCAUCCACGAACCAAAACCCCUCAAGCUAAUCAACAAUGGAGGCAAAUGGACACAGUCUACAUCUCCCAUGGAUUUCCAAACAGUUUCUCCAAAACCCGACUUCAUCCUCAGCAUCUCUGUCGACUAGGACUCCUCUACCCAGAUGAAACCAUCUACGACUUUACACCGCUGCCCCAAAUUUUCCUCCACAUCAAUUCCAAGUUCUCUUCGUCUCCACCGGCGCCGUCCACAGGGCCAUGACUAUUUCCAAGGUCGCCGUCGCUGAUGUCACCGCCAUCCAGCUUCAAGCUUCGCUUUGAUGAAAUUUUUUAAUUUCGAGCGGAGACGGAAACACAGCUGUUGCAGGUUGCGUACUUGUGUUGUUUUUGUUAAUAUCUGGCAGAAGAUGUCUAUAUCUCAUGUCUCUAACAAGAUUUAAUAUCCUGGUCUGACAAGAUUUAAAAAUCUUGUACUAGAGUAAUUUGCUCAUCUUGCUUCAAGGCUGGAGUGUUCUAUGAACUGGAUUCAUAAUCCUCCUACCAUUUUACUUCAUGGAGAAAUUGUUUGUUGUGGCCGGAACACCAGCUGACAAGCUGAUUUGGUGUCCCUAACCACUUAAAACCCGACACGUGUCCAACUUAGAAUUUGAUAGGAUUGUGAAUUGGGGUUAACGGUUCCGUCUUCUGUCGUUUAGAAGAAUCGUCUCUGACCUAAAAACAUACUAACUAGAUAAGACCCUCAACUAUAUCUCAGAUCUAUAUUCAGAGAAAAGGCUGAAGCAAGAGAAGAAACCGCGAUUCUCUCACAAGAGAACUGCACAAGGCGGCGCUAGUAAGAAUCACCAUUUGCAAAGACGACUGCGCCGACAACUUCGAUGGCGGAGGAUCUGGUGAUGCAAUCGAGGGACUGUGCGAGUUUUACCUCAAAUUCACCGUAUUCGUCGUCGAUUUUGAGACUUGAUAGUGGGGUUUUUGAAUGAGAGCUGUUCCCCUCCCUGCCUCCUAGAAAGGUCCCCAAGACACACCAGGUAGUUUAUUUCAAAUCUUUUACCCUCUUACUUUCUGUGCAUGAGUUUGUGGACAAAAACAAUUAGGAUUUACUGAGAAUGCAACUAAUAAGUGAAUUUGUUUGUGUAUAUGAUGAUCAAAGUAGCUGAAUUUGAGAAUAAAGUUUGAUACUUUUGCAAAUUUUAAUGAACGAAACCUCGUUAGGAAUCACUAUGAAUGAAAAUAGUUACUUUGCUUGUGUCCAUGUGUUGAACAAACUAGUUUAUUUGAGUUUUGCUUUUAAUAUAAACUGUAUGAAACUAACAGCUUUUAGUUGUAAAGAGUCUGGAGAUCCAUAAAUAUGGCUUUGCCUAGUCUAGUUCCACUGAUGGUAAUCACUAAACUGAGUUAUAUAAAGCAUAUGAACUACGACUCAUGCCAUUUUAGAGUUCUCAGUCACUAGCUUGCUACUUGUUUGUAACUGUGAAUUAGAGCUGCUAGAAUAAGCUAAUAAUAGGUCUAUUACUAAAGAGCUUGUUUCAAUGGGAAACACAAUGCUUGAUCUUACAAAGACUAAUAUUCAUGCUACCUUGACUUUCAGGUUUGUAAUCUUGCAUGGAGUAAGAAUGUGAAUGAGAUAGUUAGUUAGAACUUAUGGAUAUUCCGGAAAUCAAAUUAUGGUCUGAAAGUAUCCAUCCAUGUCAAAGGUUCAGCUAGGACAAACUCAAGUCCAAUGAAACUCUGCAGCAUCAUGUAAAGUUACAGAGGUUUUCGGUAGUAGGAUGAAUUCAGAUUCAAGGAAGACUAUAGUGUGCAAUUUUGUUUCACUCAAGGAUGUUUCAAUAUAUGUAGUGUUGCCUAUUCCAAAAUGCGUGACACAUGACCAUUUAGAGAUUUGAAUAUAUAUUAUUUUUUACAUUUUCGAGUUGUGCUUCCAACUCCUUCACAGGUUUAACCAGCUCAUUUGUGUUUUUAAAAGAACGGGCAAUAUGUGUUGUCUUGAAUGUUCCUGACUCGAUUCUAGAAAUUCUCAGUUCAGUAAAGAACAGCUCAAAUCAUUUUUAUGUCUAGGAUCCAAACCAUGCAUUCUUGAGUAACUCAUCCAAUUUGAGCAAAAAACUUAAACAAAUAGCUGAAGUAACAGUAGGCCAGCUUAAUAAACAAACAAACAAACUAUAAGAAAAGGUAGAAGUUGCCACGAAAUAGGCUUCACAUAUCUAAUCAUUACACAUAAGAGUAUAUCUGGACACAAUAUAUUGAGCCUUAUGGUAAAUAAUAUGGCAUAUCUCUUGAACCAUGUUGCUGUAAAUAAUAUCGGCAUAUCUCUUGUACCCUGCUGCGCAUGCUGUUGCUCAGUCAUUGAAUCAUUUGAAUGUAAAUCCUACAUUGUACAUUAGUCAGAGAUUAAUUAACUAAAAAACAAAAUGUAAUAGAAUAAGGUUAAACAAAUUAUGCAAACCUAGCUUGAUUGAGGAUAUUAUCCAACUUGAUGGUUUGGGGCAGAUGUACUUCCGAAUGUAUGCUAUAUGAUCAUAAUAUAUGAUUGGAACUUUUAAUGUAAACUCUAAAUAACCUUUGAAAUUACUCAUAUGUUACAUAAACCGUGUAUUGGCACAGAAUUUCUCUUCAAUAAUACUCUUGCUUUAUUUGCAGCUCAUACAAAACAUUGUGGUUUAGUAUUUGAUAGGCACUUAAGCGAACUUGACAAUUUGUCUUUCUUUCAGUCUUAAACAAUAUGCAGUUAGCUUUAUGUUAUGUGUUCUAUGACUCCUCUUCAGUUGAUUAGAUUGCCCAAAUAAAUUAUUGUAAUACAGAAUACUAAACCAGUCACAUGACCUCACCAUGUAAUGCAAUAACGUAAAAUAAAAGGCUGUAUCAUGUAAAGUAGAGCAACUCACCAGCCUCUCAGAUCUGAUCUUGUCAAGAGCAUGCAUAAAUAUAAACACUACACAUAAGCAAAAGUAGUUUGGUGAAAUGAAAAGGCACACACUCAAGCUAAAUCAUCACUAAUAAUCCAUCAAGGGGAGCGACAUAACAUGCAUCUUCACAAUCAACAGAAAGCAUCACACUCAACCCCUAAAGCAUAUACUUCAACCACCAUAAACUGUAUACAUCCCCUACAAAUAUCAUUUCAACGGCAGUAAACAGUAAACCAUUGGGGACAUGCAUAUGAGUCAAAUGACAACAGAAAUGCAAAACCAAUUGUCAUUGAUCAUGAUUAUCACUGAGCCCAAAUUACAUACCAAUCCAAAACUCCUAAAUUAUAAUCAAAACCCUAAACCUCCAAAUCAGACAAAAUCACUAGAAUUAUCAAGCCACUAUUAAUCAUCAAGUUCGAAUUCCCUUCAAUUAUGAUUGCAAAACACAAAUAGUCGCACCAUAAAUAUUAAUUUCCAAUAACAAAACAACAGAUUGUUUCUUCUUUCAUUAUCGCAAAACCAUCAUAAACCCUAGAAUCCGGUCUAAAAAGCAAAGAGGACUCACAUCGGGAGCAUUGCUGAUAAGCUCACAGAGACAGAUCUCCUUGCUGCUGAAUCUGUUUGACCUCAGCAAAGGGAACAAAGGCCCUAUCGAGCGCAAUCAUUUCAGGUGGGGCAGGCGAGCCCUUCGACGAAGCAACGGGACUCGAUCUCGGCAGAGACCAUAGCGCAAACGAAAACCUAGAGAAAAGACAACAGUCUUGUACUCUUGAGGAGAUUAAGAAACUGAUAGAGCACUCAAAUGGCAGAAGACGGAACCGUUAACCACAACUCACAAUUCUACCAAAUUCUGAGUUGGACACGUGUCGGGUUUUAAGUGGUUAGGGACACCAAAUCAGCUUGCCAGCUGGUGUUCCGGCCACAGCAAAUAAUUUCUCUACUUCAUGUUCUAUAGUCAGAUGCAGUUGUAGCUCCUCCUUAGUUUUCUUUAGUUUGGUUUCUGUUUGCUGUUUCUAAGCCUAUGUGCUUUUGUUUCUUUGCUUGUUUGUAAUGGUUUGGUUGUACAAAAAAAAAAAAAAAAACAUCAAAAUAGAUAAUUUUCUCUCCUAUCCAGCUACUUUUCCAGGUACACAAACACAACCUAGGGUAAAGAUAAAGAUUGGUGGUUUGGGAUUCAAAGUGUUAAAGGGUUUCAACCAAGCGUUAUUGGCUAAGCCGGUUGGGAGAAUUGCGUCUAACCCGGACUCUAUAGUUCAUGCGUAUUACAAGCAAAAUAUUUUUUGGAUGCUAAUUGGGUAAGUGUGAUGGCGAGAAGGGGAGAUUUCAAUGAUAUAUAUGGAGCAAUAUACUUUGGGGGUAGAGAUUUAUUGUGUCAUAGAUUGAGAUAGGGGGUGGGGAGGUGACAGAUGGCUUCCGACACCGUGGAGCUUCAAGAUUAAUUCACCAUAGAUUGAGAAUGCCAACAUGAAGGUCAAAGACCUCCUAGAUCAAUUUGGGAUGUAUGUUAAAUGUUCAAUUGGUUAAAUCUUUGUUCCUACCUGAUAUAGCUGAUACGAUCUUAUCAAUUCCAUUAGCUAUGGUACAUCUUGUCAAUACACACAACUCGACAUUAUUAUUAUUUUGAAUUAUAGAAAGGAUGGUUGCUACUUAGUGAAAUCUAGGGCUUGGUUAGCAAUGAAGUUAAAGAACAAGUUAAAGAACAAUGAGUUGGGCCGUGCGAGCAGUAGUAAUGCAAAUUGACCAUACUAUGUGGGAAAAAAUGUUGCAUCUACCUACAACACCGAAGAUUAAAAAUUUUCUUUGUAAGGUGUUACCUCUGUAAAUCACCUCUGCCGAGAUAACCGAGAGAUCAAGGAACAAACGUUCUUCUUAUGUAGAUUGCUGGGCGUGCCAGCACAUGGCCGACAUGCUAAGUGUGAAAUUGUAGAUGUAGUGUGUGUAUCAGAAAUCGUCGUUAUAACUACUCCUAGUGCAAAAGCGUAAGAGGAUAAUACAAGAGCAAUGAAAUAAACUCAAGAUUAAGGGCAGAAAGUAAGCUAGAGCGGAAAAGAAAAUUGCAAGAAGUAAAAGAACAAUAAUGUAAAGAGCGAAUUAUAAAAUUGAAUUGUAAACGCCGAGUACCAUUUGGUCUAGCGGCACAGUCUCCACUUAAUAAGUGGAGGUUGUGAUUUCAAUUACGAAGUUGUAAUAUUUGAAAACCGGUCAUUUAAUUUUCUAAGCUUCAAAAAGAGAGCGCUGCUAGGGUUUUUGCUUCCCUAGGGUUUCAUUCUUCUCAGCCGCUCAGCACCCAUUCCCCGUUUGCUCACCAUGACUAAUGAGGUUUCAACCCAAUUUGCCACCGCUCUCACCAUUCGUGAGGGCAGUCCGGCCAUUCCCGGCGUGAUUCCACGACCUCCGACUACCUUGGCUCCCUCUUUUGCCAUUGGUAGGUUGCUGUCAAUGAAGAAGCGUCUUCCAGACCCGAAGGUGGUGAUCGGCAUCCUAACCUCCGUCUGGGAUCUCCAUAACCGCCUCUAGGUACGUUCGGUGGGUGAUCGUUAUUUGCUCAAGUUCUCUCGCCCUGAAGAACGUCGCCAUCUGAUCCAAGGAGGUCCAUGGUUCUUUGGACGAUCCAACUUCAUGGUCUCUCUAAGGUGACCACUGUUUUGAUCUCUUCUAUGCCGAUGAAGGUUGAGAUCCUUGGACUCCCACCACGUUUGUUCACGGAAGAGGCUGCAGGGAAGGUUGGUGAUCUCUUAGGGCAAGUGUUGUUUCUGGAUAAGAUUGGUUUGCAGCGUGGAAUUCGAGCCAACGUCCGGCUCAUCCAUGAUAUAUCUGAUCCAGUGAGGGAGGCAUUCCCUCCGAUGCCCUUUGAGUUUGAUUUGGGUGAUUGGAAAGCGACGGUUAUGCUUUCUUUCAAGUAUGAAAGGUUGGUAGGGUUUUGCCGAGUUUGUGGUCUGUUGGAGCAUCUCUCUCAGGGGUGUGGCGGUCCACCGGAUGCAACAAAGGUUCAGCAGGUUAGUUUGGUGCCAGCGGCAGAGGUGGAGAAGGAUAUCCUAGGGUUUGGACGCUUUCCUGUCACCAAAAACCCUAACCCUAGCUUUCGGCAGGGUGUAAGGUUGAAUAGGGUUUGCUUGAAUCCUUCCCCUGCUUCGGUGAAUCCCUUCUCAGGUGGAGCUCUCUCGGCUUUGAGUUCGAGUUCGUCGUCGUCGCAGCCGGGAAGUUUCUUCUCUAUUCCUGGUGUUUCGGCCUCAGAGUUGGCAAGGCAGCUGGCUUCCUUCAAGUCUCCUUCUCCGACCUUUCUGCCGGCUGUGGGAAUGGAUUCAGUGGGUCUACCAGUCAUUCAGAUUCCGGCGGCAGUCUAUAAUCCGAUUAUUAGAGUACAGAGAGAUGCUGACUUAACCCUCAUUCCAAUGGGUAAGAGAGCUCAGAGUGAUGAUGCUCCUAUGGAGGUAAUCCCUUAUGAGCCUUCCUUUGUUCCUGAGAUGUAUUUGGCUUUUAAGGAUGGGAGGAUCCAAAUCUCGUCGGUGAAGAAGAAGAAACGUGGAAGACCUUUUGGCUCCAAGUGACACGACCCACCUCGAAUUUCACCCUGAAACCCGGAGUAAGCCGUGCGGGGACCAUCUCCAAGGAAAAUUUACUGAAAAGAUUGAGAAAAUCUCCCUUGAAAAUGGACAACCCUAACUCGAAAAUUCCAAAUUACACUCUUAAUACAACACGUCCAAACAUCACAUAAUUAUCCUUCAGAAAUUCUAAACGUAAAAUACAAUAAUCCCAAAGUAUUCAGAGCUACUAGACACUAGCGGAAGCAAGAAAACACUAGUAGGUUAAACAAGUAACCUACUGAUGAAAACUGGCGGAAAUGCGGGUGACUAUACCUCGCCUCCUACUAGAUCCAACCCGAACUCUGCAGACUGGGCAAUUUAAAAUGAAGGGCCCAAGGGAAAACAUUUAAUAACGUUAGAGUGAGUGGACAAAAAUAAAAUAAUAAAUAAAAUAUUUAUGUUUCCCCAAAUUAAUUUUUAAGGAAAAAUCGAAUGCAUGUCGCAAGCGAUAAAACUUUUAUCUCAUAAAAUAUCGAGCCUCUCAGACUCUAUAAUAUAUGUAUGUAUUUACACUCGUCCAUACUCCCUAUAUAAAUUCAUGGGUCUAUAUAGGGCUACUACGCUCGCGUCCAACGCUCACGUCAAGCCUUAAUGCGGUGCUACACUACGCCAUUAAGGUGGACAGACGGGUGUAUAAAUAUGUGUCCAUACCCCCUAUAUGAAUUAAACACUCAAAUAGGGCUACUACGCUCACGUCCAACGCUCACGUCACACCAUAAUGCGGCUAUAUGCUACGCCAUUAAGGUGGACAGACACAUAUGGCUAGCUAGCAUUUUAUAUACAUAUUCUCUCAUAAAUACAUAUUUAUAUCUACCGAAAAUCCCAUUUUCGGUAACUCUCCAAGAGAAAUAAAAUUCGUCAAAUUAAAAUGACGUCAAAAUAUUCUGCAACAAUUAUUGUUCAACCAUGAACUCUAGCAUGCAUUUUAUUUAAAACAAAAGUCCACUCACAAAUUAGGCCUAAGCCUGACGUCGAUCUGGGGCCUCGUCUGCUCGAGCCUCCUCACGUCCUGUUCCAAAUAUAAUAUUAAUUUCCCAACUAACAAUCCAAUAUUUAAUCAAAAUAGGCAAAAUUACCCGAGAGCCAUAAAUACGCUUAUCAUUGUCUAACUUCGAUAUUCUUAAAUCGAAACGAUCCGAACUUAAAUAUCAUACUCGACAGUCGUAAAUACAACCUCCCAAAAAAUACGACUUAAAUCCUACGGCCGGAUUCUACAUUAAUUAACCGCCAAAAAUACCACACUUCGGAAAUUCACAAACCUAUCCAAAUCUCAUCCAAAAAUUCCAUAAAUCACAUCAAUAUAAUCCCCUUAAUAUUCCACAUUUAAAACCCUAAAAAUCUCCCAAACCGUGGCGGCCGGAGGCCAAUUCCGGCGACCUCCGAUUCCUAUGAAAUUUUGACAGAAUAAUCCUCUCAUCAUGCUCUACAACUUUCCUAACUAGCACAAACACCAAUUCCAAGCCUAACUAGGGUAAUCGACUAAAAACAUCAAAAACGCCAUAAAACUUCCACCUCAAAUUUCUCCUUACCUAGCUCAAAAGGGAGUGAGUCCUUUUAGGGCAAGGCUGCUGGGUUGGAGGGCUACAAAACCAUACCAAGCUUGCCCGGAUUGGUGGCCGGAGGAGGGAGUUCCGGCGAAAAGCUUCCCGGCGUCUCCGGCGAGUUUUCUCUUCUUUCGGCGGGCUAACGGCUCAGGGGCUAGGUCGGGGAGGGAGAGGAGGAGAUGGGGGGUCCGAACUGGGGUGGAGGGGUGGCUGGUGGCUGGCCGGACGGCGGCAGCUGGCAGCUGGAAGUUUCCGGCGAAAGGGGAGAGAGCACGGGAAGGAGAAGGAAGAGAAAAGAGAAAGAAAAAAGAGAAGAAGAAAUAGGCUUGGGUCUCCUACCCGGUCCAAGUCCUAUAUACAACCCAAUUCCAAAAAUAAAACACCCCGAAAAAAAUAAUACCCGAAUAAAAAUUACCUUUUACUAGCUAAAAUUUACCAUUUUUACCGUCGUCAUAUUUUCCUCCUAUGAACAAACCUCCGCACAUAAUCGUCCCCGAAACCCCUCUAGGGACCAAUUAAACUAUUAACUCAAUGACGAAGGCGGUAAAAUUCUUAUUAUAAUCAAGCUAGUAAAUAAGGUAAAAAUAUAAGGGUCGGGAUGUGACACCAAGAAUAAGAAGAAAAUUAUGGAGGUGCAGCCAGGGAAGGCAGGAGCCAACUCUAGGGGCCCUAGGAAAGCUAAGAAGAGGAGUUUUGGUGCUCAUCGGGUUCUUGAGAUGGGAGAGAGCUCUGGCGGCUCUACAGGGAUGUUGGAUCAGUCUGGGGUGGUGAUAGAAGCUAUAGAGGAUGUUGUUGUCGCUGCCAAUUCCAGUGAUUUUGUGUCGGAGUCCGGGGAGAUCCCUUCUGCGUAAGGUGAUUCCAGUUUGGUUUAAUAAGUUGGCAGGCGCUGACAGGUUCUGGUUCUGGUUACUUGGUUCCAUUUGUGCUUCAAGGUUAUGGUUUUCGACAUUGAAAUUGCUUAGCCUAUAGGUAGUUUCGCAUGGUUCACUUUUUACGUAGUCCGCGAGGACAGACCGUGUUCAUGUUGUUUUCCUACAUUUGAUCAAUAUAGAUUGACAUCCCCUUUUCAAAAAAAAAAAAAAGUUGUAAUAUUUGAGUUGUUUACCUGAUAAAAAAAAUAUUUGAAUAGUAAACGACUGAGAGAUAAAAAUCAAUUCUAUAAAGGUGUGGUAAAUAACAAUCUAAAUCGAUACUAGGACGUAGCAGAGGUAAAAAAAACUGAACGAAACUGAAGCUAGUUUGGAAGUCAGAUAUAUCGUGGAUAUCCAGGAAAAAAAUAUCGAAAAUUGGGGAAGAAUUUUUUUUUCUGAAAUUUAUUAUAUUUACAUAUAGAGAAAUUUUACAUACGCAUCCCUAACAACUUAAUACACAUCCUUAUCUCAAUACAUCAUUUCAUUUAAUUUCUCAUUCUAAUAUUUUACUAAAUACACAACCCAAAGUACCUAAAAUACCCUUAGUCUAAAAAUCCAUGAAAUAUCAUAUUAUUUGACUAUAUUAAGACUAUUAUUGUUGUAUUAAUA